GAAAAAUUAAGGAGAUUUAUUUUUGGUAAAACCACAUAAUUUGAAUAAGGCACAUUCGUCAACAUCAAUGAAAAACAAAUGAAAACACAAUCAUGGUUACAUAAGGAAGAAGGGGAAUACCCAGAAUUUAGACAUUAAUAUGGGCCAUUUAUGUUAAGUAGAAAAAAAGCAAAAUGCAGUUGUUUGAAGGUCAAUGUGUGCUUCUUUUAUGACAGGGAUGACAAACAUAUUUUAAUCUCCUGUAAUUUGACCAACCAGAAGCAACUGCCUGGAGCUUUGGGCUUUAGAAGGCAGAGGCCAGUGUGGGCACAGAAAGAAGGUUCUGACUGCUGUGGGCGGGGGUGCCAAGCAGCGCAUCUUCCUGCCUACUCAGCCCGCUGCUUCCCAAGUCCAAAAUGUUCUUUCUGGUUCAGGUGACUGCUCUUAGCCAAGGACAAAUUUAGUUUAUGAGCCUCAAUAAGGAAAAGUGGGAGAUCAUUUCUCAGUAUAGGAACCAAUCUAUGGAUUUUUAAAGCCAUCAAAACAAACUGAAGUAAACACAGCAUGUAACCCUGGAAGGAAAGGCAUUGAAGACUAAAUUAUUUGUACCUUUACCAAUUAUUUACACAUUAGGGGAUACUGGUUGUAGGCCGUUUAGACAAGGCUAUAGUGCUCUUAACUAGUUAGUAAAUUUUUAAAACCAGUCGAGGAGCAUUGCCAUAUACAGAUCUGAUAGGGCAGUAUUUUGGAAAUGAGUUUCCAUAGCCCAGUCUCUGAAUGAGGCAAAUUUAGGCCCCACAUCAUCAGCUACUUUACAGCCUAAAGCCUAAAACUUAACAUAAUAGGAAUAAGGGAUAUUUUAAAGUCAUCUGGAAAAACUGUUUUACACAGAUAUUUUUAGUUAGUUCUCUCUAGAAUUGGUAAUACCUUCUUUGUAAAUGUAUUAUUCAAAACAAGUAUUUCCCAUGUGACUCACAAGCCUCAGUAUUUCAUAAACUCAUAGAACCCUGAAAAUAUUUUAAAAUAAUCAUUUCAUCAUAGUUCUAUGGAUUAUAGUAUUUGU
rnacentral:lncRNA from 1 species